GGUUGCUAGGGUGACAGGGACACAACAUGGCGGCGGGAUCUCUAACGCUCUCCUUCGAGGGACCACCACGGAGAUCCUAGUGCGGGACCCCGCCUCAGGGAAGUGGAAAGCAGGGGGACAACCUUCCUGCUUCUUUCUUUUCCGUCCAGUGUCGGCAAGGGGUUGUCACCGGCUUCCGCAUCCAAGAUGAAGAACUAUAAAGCAAUUGGCAAAAUAGGAGAGGGAACGUUUUCUGAAGUUAUGAAGAUGCAAAGCCUGAGAGAUGGAAACUACUAUGCAUGUAAACAAAUGAAGCAGCGCUUUGAAAGGGAGAAGAUACCCAUUAUCAGAAAAAAAAAUUAUGCACUAUAUGUACCAGUUAUGUAAGUCCCUGGAUCAUAUUCACAGAAAUGGAAUAUUUCACAGAGAUGUAAAACCAGAAAAUAUACUAAUAAAGGUUGUAAAAAAUGGUUUAUUUAAUAAAUGCCAUCAACAUAACUGACUGCACCUGGAAGAAAAUAAUUGAAAGCACCAUUUUCACACCGCAGACAAAAAUGAACCCUAUUCAGACGGCCGUUCAAACCUUCUAGAGGGAAAUGUG
rnacentral:lncRNA from 1 species